rnacentral:rRNA from 1 species
GUGCAGCCUCCGCGGUAAUACGGAGGGCCCAAGCGUUAUCCGGAUUCACUGGGUUUAAAGGGUGCGCAGGCGGUCAGGUAAGUCAGUGGUGAAAGACUCCGGCUCAACCGGGGAAUUGCCAUUGAAACUACUUGACUUGAGUGUAGUUGAGGCAAGCGGAAUGUAGCAUGUAGCGGUGAAAUGCAUAGAUAUGCUACAGAACACCGAUUGCGAAAGCAGCUUGCUAGACUACGACUGACGCUGAGGCACGAAAGCGUGGGUAGCGAACAGGAUUAGAUACCCUUGUAGUCC